GACCGUGCUCCUGAAAUAGCAUUUCACAGACUCUGCCUAAAGCACCAAACUAAGAAAUUUGUGGUACCAUACUGAGUUUACUCAUUCAGAAUAAUGGGAGAACAGGAAAGAAAUAUCCCCGAAGCUGUCCAAGAACCUGACGUUGAUCAGGAAGGACAAAGAAUGGCAAUCAGAGAUGAACAGGGUGCAGCAGCCAGAAAUCCACCUGAGCAGGGAGGAGUGAGAGUCAAUCCAACACGACCAGCACAAAAAACUCCCGAAGUAAGAGCACAUGAGACAUACGAGAAGGAUAGAAAGGCAGAAAACCAGGAUUUGCGCAGGGAAAAUCUGAAUGUUCUCUUUAAAAAUUCUGAAAGAACAACAUUGCAGUUUGAUACUAAUGAUCGAGACGAAUGGUUGAGAAUGAUGCCAGAAUUCCUUGAACUUGAUGGAUAUAACAUGACACAGAGCACAAAAAAUUGUACCAUAUUGAAAAACGGAAGGAUUACAGUUGUGUCGUAUGAUUCUGGACAAUUUCUAAUAUAUGGCAAGGAUCAGAAUACAAAUGAUUUUGAAAGGUGGUUUGAAGCAAACAAAAAUAGAAUCACAGACCUACACAAUGUCAUGGAAAGGAUGAAUUUACGGGACCAUGAUUAACAUUGUCAGCCAGAAAGCAAGAAAGAGCAUAGGCUUUCUGACUGCCGUUGAGCUGUUGUGGAAUUCUCUGAAUUGUGUAGUUUUUGGAGGAAUUACAGCUCAACUUUGUACUCACUGGUGGGGGUUGAGUUCAUUUAAUACAUGAAAGUCUUUUAUAGCUUUUCUGUAACGUGACACUGUACUAACACUAAAUUAAUUAUUUGAUAAACAUACAUAAAGGCUAGAUUUUAACGCAAGAACUGGCAUGCACGAUUAUUCAAAUAAGCUCCUUAAUACAUUCAACACUUUCAGUUUUCAACUUCAUGCUUUACAUUUUUUUAUUUAUAAAUGCUUGUUUUCAGUGACAGUAAAUGCUUGAAAAAACAAAUAUGAGCAUUGGCAGAUUUUAAAAUAUGAAAGCCCUUUCUCAGCACUUUUAAAAAGCCUUUAAAUCUGAACAUGUGAAUGUGAUUCAUCAGGACUAAGUGAGGUGAAUGAUCAUAUCUAGGACAUAUUUUCUAGGACAUAUUUUCUGUUCUUAGAUUAUAAGAUUGUUUGAUUUUGAUUUUAUUAUGAGCCAUCCAUUGGGGGGUGGGGGUUCAUUUUUUUUUCUGAAUUGAUAAGAUGGUAUUGUGUGAAUUUGUUUAGAAUUGUUGGUUUGGGUUACUUUUUUGGGAGAGGGAGGGACAUUCUUGUAAGGAUACAAAUUAUAGAUUAAAGUUUUCUCUUUUUGGUGGA